AGGCAUCAGAGGGGCAGUGGCAGGUGGUUGCAGACUCUACAUGGUGCGAGAUAGAGCUGUGAAGUGACAGCAUCAGACUGCAGAUGAAAUGGCAACUUCACUCCUCAGACUAAAUAUACGUGUACGCUGGAACACCCAAGUAGGAGACUAGUUUGGCAUGGGAGGAAGAAAACCUGGCUUUAGAAGAGGAGUUCAGACAGGAAGCAGCAAUAUUCCAAGAAGAUUUCCGAGUCAAACAGGAGAGGAACUGGCUUCUCGAAGAGCGUAUUGCAGAGAUUCCCUAAAACAUUCAGCUGCACAGCUGGAGCAGCACACUGUGGUCACAUUCUCAGUAGAAGGAGCCCUUCAGAUAUGGGAUCUGUGCUGUGUCUGCUCACUGUGCCAGGAGGGGAGCCGCUAGCCUUGCAAACAGCAGGCUCGUGGGAUUUUGUAUAUUGAGCUCUGGGAUUGUGUAUAUUGAGCUGAGAUGACUGAAGAACCGAAGUGUCUCAUGAAGUCGAGGACGACAGCUUGCAGCGAUGAUGGCAGCAAGGUGAUUGUAAUACAGGUUGUGUAAUGUUUGCUGACCCUUUGUACAUCGUUCUGUUUUCUUGUACAUGUCUAUGGAGUUGUUGAAGGGAAUGAAGGGUGCUUUUCAUUGUCUCGAGACUCAGCAUGAGUACACGCCCCCCCCGUUAAUCACGGUUCCCUGGAGAAACUGAGCUGCUUAAGGUCCAAACCACCACCAGAUGGCAGCUGAAGUUCAAAUAUGAGAUGGGUCCAAGGUCUCAGCAGGGGACUGCUAGAGAGGGGAACUUUGUGGUCCUGGAAUUGGGAAGAUAUUAAAAAAAAAAGACAGCUAUGGUUA
rnacentral:lncRNA from 1 species